rnacentral:rRNA from 1 species
CAGGUUUAAGAUUCCUGCACCCCUUGUUAUCAGAACUGCGGGGACACGGGAAGGGAAGCAGAGCCGGGAAUGGAAAGCCCGGUGCAAGCGAAGUAGUCGCAGGGUUGGAAAAUCCGCCCUGCAUGAGACGAAGGCGUGAUGCGGAGCGAAAUGAAGUAGUGAAGCUGCGGCCCCUUCCUGUCGAGAAAAGCCGCUAUCGUGUAGCAAGGGCCCGUACCGUAAACCGACACAGGUGGAUGAGGAGAGGAUCCUAAGGCCGGCGGGAGAAGUGUUGUUAAGGAACUCGGCAAAAUGACUCCGUAACUUCGGGAGAAGGAGUGCUGCGCAAGCAGCCGCAGAGAAAUGGCCCAAGCAACUGUUAGCAAAAACACAGGUCUAUGCGAAACCGAAAGGUGAGGUAUAUGGGCUGACGCCUGCCCGGUGCUGGAAGGUUAAGGGGAGAGCUUAGCGCAAGCGAAGGUUUGAACUUAAGCCCCAGUAAACGGCGGCCGUAACAAUAACGGUCCUAAGGUAGCGAAAUUCCUUGUCGGGUAAGUUCCGACCCGCACGAAAGGCGUAAUGAUUUGGGCACUGUCUCAACAACACACCCGGUGAAAUUGAAAUACCAGUGAAGAUGCUGGUUACCCGCGCCAGGACGGAAAGACCCCAUGGAGCUUUACUCCAGCCUGAUACUGGGAUUCGGUAUUGCAUGUACAGGAUAGGUGGGAGGCUAAGAACUUAUGGCGCCAGCCGUGAGGGAGCCGAUGUUGGAUACCACCCCUGCAGUACUGGGUUUCUAACCUGCGCCCGUGACCCGGGCGGGGGACAAUGUCAGGCGGGGAGUUUGACUGGGGCGGUCGCCUCCGAAAGGGUAUCGGAGGCGCUCAAAGGUCUCCUCAGGAUGGUUGGAAACCAUCCAGAGAGUGCAAAGGCAGAAGGAGGCUUGACUGCGACACCGACGGGUGGAGCAGGUACGAAAGUAGGACUUAGUGAUCCGGUGGCAUAAAGUGGGAUUGCCAUCGCUCAACGGAUAAAAGCUACCCUGGGAUAACAGGCUUAUCACUCCCAAGAGUUCACAUCGACGGAGUGGUUUGGCACCUCGAUGUCGGCUCAUCGCAUCCUGGAGCUGGAGCAGGUUCCAAGGGUUGGGCUGUUCGCCCAUUAAAGCGGUACGCGAGCUGGGUUCAGAACGUCGUGAGACAGUUCGGUCCCUAUCCGGCGCGGGCGCAGGAUAUCUGAGAGGAGCUGUCCUUAGUACGAGAGGACCGGGAUGGACCGUCCGCUGGUGGACCGGUUGUCAUGCCAAUGGCACGGCCGGGUAGCCAAGACGGGAAGGGAUAAACGCUGAAGGCAUCUAAGCGUGAAGCCCCCCUCAAGAUGAGAUAUCCAUACUCGAAAGAGUGAGAGACCCCUUAGAGACGAUGAGGUAGAUAGGGCAGAGAUGGAAGCACAGCGAUGUGUGGAGUUGACUGUUACUAAUCGGUCGAUAGCUUGACC